UACGUAGGGUGCAAGCGUUGUCCGGAAUUAUUGGGCGUAAAGAGCUCGUAGGCGGUUUGUCGCGUCGAAUGUGAAAACCCGGGGCUCAACCCCGGGCCUGCAUUCGAUACGGGCAGACUAGAGUUCGGUAGGGGAGUCUGGAAUUCCUGGUGUAGCGGUGGAAUGCGCAGAUAUCAGGAGGAACACCGAUGGCGAAGGCAGGUCACUGGGCCGCAACUGACGCUGAGGCACGAAGGUCAGGGGAGCAAACGGG
rnacentral:rRNA from 1 species